GACGAACGGCUGGCGGCGUGGAUUAGGCAUGCAAGUCGAACGGUAUCAUCCUUCGGGGGUGAGAGAGUGGCGAACUGGUGAGUAACACGUAGGUUAUCUACCCUCAAGACGGGGACAACCCAGGGAAAACUUGGGCUAAUACCGGAUGUGAGCAACUUUUAGUUGUUUGAAAGGUGGCGUAAGCUGUCGCUUGGGGAUGAGCCUGCGUCCUAUUAGUUAGUUGGUGAGGUAACGGCUCACCUAGGCAAUGAUAGGUAGGCGGCCUUAACGGGUGGUCGCCCACACUGGGAUUGAGAUACGGCCCAGACUCCUACGGGAGGCAGCAGUCGAGAAUAGUCUACAAUGGUCGGAAGACUGAUAGUGCGACGCCGCGUGAACGAUGAAUCCCUUCGGGGUGUAAAGUUCUUUUAUAUGUGAGCAGUGCUUCUUAUAUUAACAGUAUGGGGAGAGAGAUAUUAGCAUAUGAAUAAGCAACGGCUAACUCCGUG
rnacentral:rRNA from 1 species